ACGGGAGGCAGCAGUGGGGGAUAUUGCACAAUGGGGGAAACCCUGAUGCAGCGACGCCGCGUGUGGGAAGACGGUCUUCGGAUUGUAAACCACUGGCUUUGGGGACGAUAAUGACGGUACCCAAGGAGGAAGCUCCGGCUAACUACGUGCCAGCAGCCGCGGUAAUACGUAGGGAGCGAGCGUUGUCCGGAAUCACUGGGUGUAAAGGGAGCGUAGGCGGGUAGACAAGUUGGAUGUUAAAUAUAUCGGCUUAACCGGUAUCUGCAUUCAAAACUGUUUAUCUUGAGUGAAGUAGAGGUUGGUGGAAUUCCUAGUGUAGCGGUGAAAUGCGUAGAUAUUAGGAGGAACAUCGGUGGCGAAGGCGACCAACUGGGCUUUUACUGACGCUGAGGCUCGAAAGCGUGGGUAGCAAACAGGAUUAGAUACCCUGGUA
rnacentral:rRNA from 2 species